GAUCGAUGGCUCAGGAUGAACGCUGGCGGCGUGCCUAACACAUGCAAGUCGAGCGAAGGAUGAGGAGCUUGCUCUUCAUACUAGCGGCGGACGGGUGAGUAACGCGUGGGUAACCUGCCCUGUACAGGGGAAUAACAGUUAGAAAUGACUGCUAAUGCCCCAUAAGCCGACGAGAUGGCAUCUUUUUGUCGGAAAAGAUUUAUCGGUACAGGAGGGACCCGCGUCUGAUUAGCUAGUUGGUGAGGUAACGGCCCACCAAGGCGACGAUCAGUAGCCGACCUGAGAGGGUGAUCGGCCACAUUGGAACUGAGACACGGUCCAAACUCCUACGGGAGGCAGCAGUGGGGAAUAUUGCACAAUGGGGGAAACCCUGAUGCAGCAACGCCGCGUGAAGGAAGAAGUAUUUCGGUAUGUAAACUUCUAUCGACAGGGAAGAAACAAAUGACGGUACCUGAAUAAGAAGCACCGGCUAAAUACGUGCCAGCCGCCGC
rnacentral:rRNA from 1 species